UACGAAGGGGGCUAGCGUUGUUCGGAUUUACUGGGCGUAAAGCGCACGUAGGCGGAUCGUUAAGUCGGGGGUGAAAUCCUGGAGCUCAACUCCAGAACUGCCUUUGAUACUGAAGAUCUUGAGUUCGGGAGAGGUGAGUGGAACUGCGAGUGUAGAGGUGAAAUUCGUAGAUAUUCGCAAGAACACCAGUGGCGAAGGCGGCUCACUGGCCCGGUACUGACGCUGAGGUGCGAAAGCGUGGGGAGCAAACAGGG
rnacentral:rRNA from 1 species